rnacentral:rRNA from 1 species
GUUAAGCGACUAAGCGUACACGGUGGAUGCCCUGGCAGUCAGAGGCGAUGAAGGACGUGCUAAUCUGCGAUAAGCGUCGGUAAGGUGAUAUGAACCGUUAUAACCGGCGAUUUCCGAAUGGGGAAACCCAGUGUGUUUCGACACACUAUCAUUAACUGAAUCCAUAGGUUAAUGAGGCGAACCGGGGGAACUGAAACAUCUAAGUACCCCGAGGAAAAGAAAUCAACCGAGAUUCCCCCAGUAGCGGCGAGCGAACGGGGAGCAGCCCAGAGCCUGAAUCAGUGUGUGUGUUAGUGGAAGCGUCUGGAAAGGCGCGCGAUACAGGGUGACAGCCCCGUACACAAAAAUGCACAUGCUGUGAGCUCGAUGAGUAGGGCGGGACACGUGGUAUCCUGUCUGAAUAUGGGGGGACCAUCCUCCAAGGCUAAAUACUCCUGACUGACCGAUAGUGAACCAGUACCGUGAGGGAAAGGCGAAAAGAACCCCGGCGAGGGGAGUGAAAAAGAACCUGAAACCGUGUACGUACAAGCAGUGGGAGCACGCUUAGGCGUGUGACUGCGUACCUUUUGUAUAAUGGGUCAGCGACUUAUAUUCUGUAGCAAGGUUAACCGAAUAGGGGAGCCGAAGGGAAACCGAGUCUUAACUGGGCGUUAAGUUGCAGGGUAUAGACCCGAAACCCGGUGAUCUAGCCAUGGGCAGGUUGAAGGUUGGGUAACACUAACUGGAGGACCGAACCGACUAAUGUUGAAAAAUUAGCGGAUGACUUGUGGCUGGGGGUGAAAGGCCAAUCAAACCGGGAGAUAGCUGGUUCUCCCCGAAAGCUAUUUAGGUAGCGCCUCGUGAAUUCAUCUCCGGGGGUAGAGCACUGUUUCGGCAAGGGGGUCAUCCCGACUUACCAACCCGAUGCAAACUGCGAAUACCGGAGAAUGUUAUCACGGGAGACACACGGCGGGUGCUAACGUCCGUCGUGAAGAGGGAAACAACCCAGACCGCCAGCUAAGGUCCCAAAGUCAUGGUUAAGUGGGAAACGAUGUGGGAAGGCCCAGACAGCCAGGAUGUUGGCUUAGAAGCAGCCAUCAUUUAAAGAAAGCGUAAUAGCUCACUGGUCGAGUCGGCCUGCGCGGAAGAUGUAACGGGGCUAAACCAUGCACCGAAGCUGCGGCAGCGACACUAUGUGUUGUUGGGUAGGGGAGCGUUCUGUAAGCCUGUGAAGGUGUGCUGUGAGGCAUGCUGGAGGUAUCAGAAGUGCGAAUGCUGACAUAAGUAACGAUAAAGCGGGUGAAAAGCCCGCUCGCCGGAAGACCAAGGGUUCCUGUCCAACGUUAAUCGGGGCAGGGUGAGUCGACCCCUAAGGCGAGGCCGAAAGGCGUAGUCGAUGGGAAACAGGUUAAUAUUCCUGUACUUGGUGUUACUGCGAAGGGGGGACGGAGAAGGCUAUGUUGGCCGGGCGACGGUUGUCCCGGUUUAAGCGUGUAGGCUGGUUUUCCAGGCAAAUCCGGAAAAUCAAGGCUGAGGCGUGAUGACGAGGCACUACGGUGCUGAAGCAACAAAUGCCCUGCUUCCAGGAAAAGCCUCUAAGCAUCAGGUAACAUCAAAUCGUACCCCAAACCGACACAGGUGGUCAGGUAGAGAAUACCAAGGCGCUUGAGAGAACUCGGGUGAAGGAACUAGGCAAAAUGGUGCCGUAACUUCGGGAGAAGGCACGCUGAUAUGUAGGUGAAGCGACUUGCUCGUGGAGCUGAAAUCAGUCGAAGAUACCAGCUGGCUGCAACUGUUU